UCCUACUAAAGGUUGAGGAGUCUUAAGAACAAAUCGGCCCAGAGCCUGUAAAGGUGAACCCACUGGGGCUGGCUGGGGGAGAAGAGGAAAGCUCGUUCCAGAGGGAACUGUCUGAGGGAU